UCUUUGGUUAUCUAGCUGUAUGAGUGUUACGUAUGAAGCUCCUCAUAGGUCUAGGUGACCGAAGUUA